CAAUACUAAUUAACUAAAAGCUUCUGCAGCAAUACCUGCUAGGUUGUGUGUUUUGCUUUAAUGGGCAUUGGCAGCGCAUUUCAUGCUCAAGAAACUGCUGUGAGUGGGCAAUUGGAGAGUCGAGUGUGGGUUGUUGAGAUCAUCUGCACUUUGGUUAGGAAAUUAUCUCCUAAUCCUAAUAGUGCUGCUAUAAUGGCCAUGGGUGUUAACAUCUUGGCAAAGAGAUUGAAAUGAUUGGGGUUCUUGAUUGAGUUUCUAUCCCAUGCUGCCAUUAUUGGGUUCAUGGGAGAAGCUGCCAUUACAAUUGCCCUUCAGCAGCUCAAAGGAUUGCUUGGCAUAAAAAAGAAUUUCACAAAGAAGACUGAUAUUGUCUCUGUUUUGUGCUCAGUGUUUAAUUCAACCCACCAUGUUGUAAUAUGAUUUCUUAAACCUAGACUAGUAGACUAAAUAUUGUAAUUACAUUUGA